GACGAACGCUGGCGGCGUGCCUAACACAUGCAAGUCGAGCGGAGAAAAUUGAAAGCUUGCUUUUAGUUUUCUUAGCGGCGGACGGGUGAGUAACGCGUGGGCAACCUGCCUUUCACAGGGGGAUAACACAGGGAAACUUGUGCUAAUACCGCAUCAUACAGCGAGAAAGCAUUUUCUUGUUGUCAAAGGAGCAAUCCGGUGAAAGAUGGGCCCGCGUCCAAUUAGCUAGUUGGUGAUGUAACGGACCACCAAGGCGACGAUUGGUAGCCGAACUGAGAGGUUGAUCGGCCACAUUGGGACUGAGACACGGCCCAGACUCCUACGGGAGGCAGCAGUGGGGAAUAUUGCACAAUGGGGGAAACACUGAUGCAGCAACGCCGCGUGAAGGAUGAAGGUUUUCGGAUUGUAAACUUCUUUAGUCAGGGACGAAUAAAUGACGGUACCUGAAGAAUAAGCCACGGCUAACUACGUGCCAGCAGCCGCGGUAA
rnacentral:rRNA from 1 species